rnacentral:rRNA from 1 species
UACGUAGGGGGCAAGCGUUGUCCGGAUUUAUUGGGCGUAAAGCGCUCGCAGGUGGUUCGUCGCGUCGUGCGUGAAAGACCCCGGCUCAACUGGGGGGUGUCGUGCGAUACGGGCGGACUGGAGGCCAGUAGGGGGAUGCGGAAUUCCGGGUGUAGUGGUGGAAUGCGUAGAGAUCCGGAGGAACACCAGCGGCGAAGGCGGCAUCCUGGACUGGUCCUGACACUCAGGAGCGAAAGCGUGGGGAGCGAUCCGG